AGAGUUUGAUCCUGGCUCAGGAUGAACGCUAGCUACAGGCUUAACACAUGCAAGUCGAGGGGCAGCAUGGUCUUAGCUUGCUAAGGCCGACGGCGACCGGCGCACGGGUGAGUAACACGUAUCCAACCUGCCGUCUACUCUUGGACAGCCUUCUGAAAGGAAGAUUAAUACAAGAUGGCAUCAUGAGUCCGCAUGUUCACAUGAUUAAAGGUAUUCCGGUAGACGAUGGGGAUGCGUUCCAUUAGAUAGUAGGCGGGGUAACGGCCCACCUAGUCUUCGAUGGAUAGGGGUUCUGAGAGGAAGGUCCCCCACAUUGGAACUGAGACACGGUCCAAACUCCUACGGGAGGCAGCAGUGAGGAAUAUUGGUCAAUGGGCGAGAGCCUGAACCAGCCAAGUAGCGUGAAGGAUGACUGCCCUAUGGGUUGUAAACUUCUUUUAUAAAGGAAUAAAGUCGGGUAUGCAUACCCGUUUGCAUGUACUUUAUGAAUAAGGAUCGGCUAACUCCGUGCCAGCAGCCGCGGUAAUACGGAGGAUCCGAGCGUUAUCCGGAUUUAUUGGGUUUAAAGGGAGCGUAGAUGGAUGUUUAAGUCAGUUGUGAAAGUUUGCGGCUCAACCGUAAAAUUGCAGUUGAUACUGGAUAUCUUGAGUGCAGUUGAGGCAGGCGGAAUUCGUGGUGUAGCGGUGAAAUGCUUAGAUAUCACGAAGAACUCCGAUUGCGAAGGCAGCCUGCUAAGCUGCAACUGACAUUGAGGCUCGAAAGUGUGGGUAUCAAACAGGAUUAGAUACCCUGGUAGUCCACACGGUAAACGAUGAAUACUCGCUGUUUGCGAUAUACAGCAAGCGGCCAAGCGAAAGCGUUAAGUAUUCCACCUGGGGAGUACGCCGGCAACGGUGAAACUCAAAGGAAUUGACGGGGGCCCGCACAAGCGGAGGAACAUGUGGUUUAAUUCGAUGAUACGCGAGGAACCUUACCCGGGCUUAAAUUGCAGAUGAAUUACGGUGAAAGCCGUAAGCCGCAAGGCAUCUGUGAAGGUGCUGCAUGGUUGUCGUCAGCUCGUGCCGUGAGGUGUCGGCUUAAGUGCCAUAACGAGCGCAACCCUUGUUGUCAGUUACUAACAGGUUCUGCUGAGGACUCUGACAAGACUGCCAUCGUAAGAUGUGAGGAAGGUGGGGAUGACGUCAAAUCAGCACGGCCCUUACGUCCGGGGCUACACACGUGUUACAAUGGGGGGUACAGAGGGCCGCUACCACGCGAGUGGAUGCCAAUCCCCAAAACCUCUCUCAGUUCGGACUGGAGUCUGCAACCCGACUCCACGAAGCUGGAUUCGCUAGUAAUCGCGCAUCAGCCACGGCGCGGUGAAUACGUUCCCGGGCCUUGUACACACCGCCCGUCAAGCCAUGGGAGCCGGGGGUACCUGAAGUGCGUAACCGCGAGGAGCGCCCUAGGGUAAAACUGGUGACUGGGGCUAAGUCGUAACAAGGUA
rnacentral:rRNA from 1 species